ACGAACUCACCAUGUCCGCAUUGAUCUCGUGAAUAUUCACUUUGUUGGCGUAUAAUGAUGAAAGUAAGUCGUCGCCACCCUUGUUAGAUCGUACAGCAAUGUAUAGGUUCUUCGCAAGGGAGGUGUUCUGAUACGACAGCAGCCAGUCAGGUACAACUCGGAGGUAGUUUCCUUCGCGGGUCAAGUAAGUAGCUGGUAGAGUGAAGGUGACGGCCGUGCGUACUGGCAGUGCUUUGGAGUCAAGACGAUUGCCUCCUGACGCAGGUGUGGCCCAGCCAAGGUAAGCCAAUUCGGGGGCGCUGGGGCAAGCUGUUCCAGAACCUAAGGGAGUAGAGCCGUCAGUAUACACUUGCCCAUUUUGGUAAGCUCCCGAUAGACCUGUGCAAGGGCAUGGAAGAUGCACGUAUG
rnacentral:lncRNA from 1 species